UACGUAGGGGGCAAGCGUUGUCCGGAUUUAUUGGGCGUAAAGGGCGCGUAGGCGGCCUGAUAAGUAGGGGGUGAAAUCUUGCGGCUUAACCGCAAGGCUGCCUUCUAAACUGUCAGGCUAGAGCACAGUAGAGGCAGGUGGAAUUCCCGGUGUAGCGGUGGAAUGCGUAGAGAUCGGGAAGAACACCAGUGGCGAAGGCGGUCUGCUGGGCCGUUGCUGACGCUGAGGCGCGACAGCGUGGGGAGCAAACAGG
rnacentral:rRNA from 1 species